UAGAUCUACCUGAAAGCCAUGGUAUCGAUGGUGGUGAGUGUAGGAAGCAUACGUUGUUAAUUAUCCUGAAACAUCACCCCUACCACACCACUGAGAAAGCUUUGUGUGUCGGGAAGAUCCAGUGAGGCGAAGUAGCUGGCGGCGGCUGGCCCUCCUGCUCCUCGGCCGCCUCUUGAUGACGUCAUCAGCGGGUCCCAGCCUGCAUCAGCCUGGCCAGUUCGAACUUUAUUUUGGUUUUUCUCAGCUCUCUUACUUCACUUCACAGCUAAUCCCGUGAGGACCUCAGGACGUACUACUGCUGAAAGAGACUGGCGUUCGCCGCAGUACAACGGCUGGCACAAUCGAUGCCGCCGAUGCUUUCCCCGCACCCGACGGCGACACCUUUGCUCCUACGAUGUGCGCCGCACCACGCUCGUCAUGAAGUGCCUGUUGGAGACGGCUUGUCAGUGCCCUGCAGUGCCCACACACGCCUGCUACAGCAUGCCCCAACCUGUCACAGCCUGCACGUCCCAGCCAGCAGGUCAAGGCAGGCAGCACUACACAUGCAGCACUGGAACACAGUAGCAAGCAAACCAUGAGAGACGUAACCAGGGAAACCUGUGUGUGUGUGUGCAUGUCUGCCUGCCUUCCUUCAGGACAGCUUGUGGCUGCAUCAGGUGAAUGUUCUGAGGCUAAGUGAGAAAACUCCUGGACUUAUUCCAUGGCACGGCAACUAAUGGCACUCCCCAGUGUUCUUGCUGCGAUGAGUCUGAGACCUGAGUGCACCAGUGGAAGUGUCUCAACAGAGCUCUAGAGAUUCCCUCUCACAACUGUAGCUGAGGUUGUGGUUCAAGAGGCUUCUGCAGACAUGGAAGAUGCUGUCAUAUCUCCUUCAUACCUGGUAAACGCCUUCCUGCUGGAGGAAAGUUAAGCCAUGUCCACACUAUUUCCUUCCUCUCAACGGUGUUUGGCAUGGUGAGACAGGUCCUGCACCCCACUCUUCAGCAGGGUCAGAGUGAAACUGAACCUGUAUUUGACACCACUCAUCAGUUUACAACUUUGCCCGCCCGUCUUUGCCUGGUGAAGGAGUAUAUAUUGUGGGCUAAACUACAUCUGGUAGCACUUUGUUGCCAGAUCCCUGCCUGUGGUUUUCCCACUUCUGACGUCAUCAACCCUCUUUCUCACUACCUAUUGUGAUCUGGUAUCACUGUUUGCCUGUCUGACACGGCUUUACAGUGCCAGUUGUUGUUGCUUCAUCCCGAGUUAAGAAUUCUAUCACCCUGAUGCUCUCCUGAGCCAAGUUUUGAGACCCUUCACUAGAAUGAUGCUGUUCACUACUGUGCAGUCUGAUCUUGAAGGAGGAUUGGAAGCAGUCAAGAUCCCUGCCUAUGAGAGUAUGUUGAUAUAUUAUAGACUACUGACUGUGGAUGAUUUCUAGUGUCCAGGUCCAUGUUCAAUCAUAACAGUGUACAACAUGUGUGGCUCUGCUUGUCUGGAGUUCCUUCACUACUACUACUACUACUACUACUACUAGUGUUAAU